rnacentral:lncRNA from 1 species
UACGAUUAUUUGAUAGAUUGAUAUUUUACAUAAAGACGAAUCAGAGUUUUAAAUUGGUUAGGCGCAAAUAAUAGAAUGAUCUUUUACAACAACAUAUUAAGUGUAAUCGCAAAUCUUACCCAACCUUGAGAGCUAGAAGGAUUGUUUCUAAUAGACCAUCAACUCAAGAAAAAGCAUAUCAAAAUAGUUUAGAAAAAAAAUAAUGAAAGUGAAGAAAGCAUGACAAAAGAUACUACUAAAAGCGAGA